rnacentral:rRNA from 1 species
AGAAUCAACGCUGGCGGCGUGCCUAACACAUGCAAGUCGAACGAGAAAGUGGAGCAAUCCAUGAGUAAAGUGGCGACCGGGUGAGUAACACGUGACUAACCUACCUUCGAGUGGGGGAUAACAUCGGGAAACCGAUGCUAAUACCGCAUAACAUCGCAAGAUCAAAGCAGCAAUGCGCUUGAAGAGGGGGUCGCGGCUGAUUAGCUAGUUGGCGGGGUAAUGGCCCACCAAGGCGAAGAUCGGUAUCCGGCCUGAGAGGGCGCACGGACACACUGGAACUGAAACACGGUCCAGACUCCUACGGAGGCAGCAGUGGGGAAUUUUGCGCAAUGGGGAAACCCUGACGCAGCAACGCCGCGUGGAGGAUGAAGCCCCUUGGGGCGUAAACUCCUUUCGACCAAGACGAUAAUGACGGUACUGGUGGAAGAAGCACCGGCUAACUCUGCGCCAGCAGCCGC